ACGACCUUACUUGAACAGGAUUUGUUCUAUAGGCUUGUACCUCUGUAUCCUUGGUUUCUAAGGAGACAGGACCUAAAACCUGGUUGAUCUUAGAUCUAAGUCUGAUUGACGUAAGUCUGAUCGACGAAUCGAACAAGUUUAGAAUCUCUUCGCUGUCGAUGGUCGCCACCCGGUUAGGUCUUUCUCUCCGGGGUGGGUCGCACGGUUGUCUGACAGGUU